rnacentral:rRNA from 1 species
AGUGAACGCUGGCGGCAUGCCUAACACAUGCAAGUCGAACGGCAGCACAGUAACUGCUGGCGCUUAGGGGCGGAGAGGGGCGGAAUGGUCCGGAAUGUACCGGAUACUACUUUUUAAUGGGGGCUAACGUAGGGUAAUUUACGCUAAUACCGCAUACAACCUACGGGGGAAAGCCGGGGAUCGUCGGGCCUGGCGGGAUGGUAUGAGCCUAUGUCGGCUUAGUUAGUUAGCGGGGCAAAGGCGUACCUAGGCGACAAUCCGUAGCUGGUCUGAGAGGAUGAUCAGCCACACUGGAACUGAGACACGGCCCAGACUCCUACGGGAGGCAGCAGUGGGGAAUAUUGGACAAUGGGCGAAAGCCUGAUCCAGCCAUACCGCGUGAAGGAUGAAGGCCUUCGGGUUGUAAAGUGCUUUUGUUCGGAAAGAAAAGCAGCUGGUUAAUACCGCGCGGUUAUGACGGUACCGUAAGAAUAAGCACCGGCUAACUUCGUG